CCUACGGGAGGCAGCAGUGGGGAAUUUUCCGCAAUGGGCGAAAGCCUGACGGAGCAACGCCGCGUGAGGGAUGAAGGCCUCUGGGCUGUAAACCUCUUUUAUCAGGGAAGAAGAUCUGACGGUACUUGAUGAAUAAGCCACGGCUAAUUCCGUGCCAGCAGCCGCGGUAAUACGGGAGUGGCAAGCGUUAUCCGGAAUUAUUGGGCGUAAAGCGUCCGCAGGCGGUCUUGUAAGUCUGUCGUUAAAGCGUGGAGCUUAACUCCAUUUCAGCGAUGGAAACUGCAAGACUAGAGUGUGGUAGGGGCAGAGGGAAUUCCCGGUGUAGCGGUGAAAUGCGUAGAUAUCGGGAAGAACACCAGUGGCGAAGGCGCUCUGCUGGGCCAUAACUGACGCUGAGGAGCGAAAGCGUGGGGAGCGAACAGGAUUAGAUACCCUGGUAGUCCACGCCGUAAACGGUGGGUGCUAGCUGUGGGCCACAUUCCACGUGGUCCGUGACGAAGUUAACACAUUAAGCACCCCGCCUGGGGAGUACGGUCGCAAGACUAAAACUCAAAGGAAUUGACGG
rnacentral:rRNA from 1 species